CCUACGGGAGGCAGCAGUGGGGAAUUUUGGACAAUGGGCGAAAGCCUGAUCCAGCAAUGCCGCGUGAGUGAAGAAGGCCUUCGGGUUGUAAAGCUCUUUUGUCAGGGAAGAAACGGUGAAAGCUAAUAUCUUUUGCUAAUGACGGUACCUGAAGAAUAAGCACCGGCUAACUACGUGCCAGCAGCCGCGGUAAUACGUAGGGUGCAAGCGUUAAUCGGAAUUACUGGGCGUAAAGCGUGCGCAGGCGGUUUUGUAAGUCUGAUGUGAAAUCCCCGGGCUCAACCUGGGAAUUGCAUUGGAGACUGCAAGGCUAGAAUCUGGCAGAGGGGGGUAGAAUUCCACGUGUAGCAGUGAAAUGCGUAGAUAUGUGGAGGAACACCGAUGGCGAAGGCAGCCCCCUGGGUCAAGAUUGACGCUCAUGCACGAAAGCGUGGGGAGCAAACAGGAUUAGAUACCCUGGUAGUCCACGCCCUAAACGAUGUCUACUAGUUGUCGGGUCUUAAUUGACUUGGUAACGCAGCUAACGCGUGAAGUAGACCGCCUGGGGAGUACGGUCGCAAGAUUAAAACUCAAAGGAUUGACGGNUGAGACGAGCGAGACGACGACGAGGGAGGAGG
rnacentral:rRNA from 1 species